AGAGGGUAUUGCCACACUGGAAUCGAACUGCCCAGAUCUACGGAGGCAGCAGUAGAAUCUCCACAUGGGGAAGCUGAUGAGCACGCCGCUUGAUGGAGAUGAUCCGUCGUAAACUCGUUGUAGGGAGACAGUACAGUAGUACCUGCUGUACUUGACGGUACCUAUUAGAAGCCACGGCUACUACGUGCCAGCAGCGCAGUAUACGUAGGUGCUAGCGUUGUCCGGAAUUAUUCGGCGUAAGCGCGCGCAGGUGGUUUCUUAAGUAUGAUGUGAAAGCGCACGGCUCAACCCUGGAGGGUCAUUGGAAACUGGGAGACUUGAGUGCAGAAGAGGAUAGCGGAAUUCCAAGUGCAGCGGUGAAAUGCGUAGAGAUUUGGAGGAACACCAGUGGCGAAGGCGACUAUCUGGUCUGUAACUGACAGUGAGGCGCGAAAGCGUGGGGAGCAAACAGGAUAAGAUAGCUUGGUAGUACACGCAGUAAACGAUGAGUGCUAAGUGUUAGGGGGUUUCCGCCCUUUAGUGCUGCAGCUAACGCAUUAAGCACUCCGCCCGGGGAGUACGGUCGCAAGACUGAAACUCAAAGGAAUUGACGGGGGCCCGCACUAGCGGUGGAGCAUGUGGUUUAAUUCGAAGCAACGCGAAGAACCUUACCAGGUCUUGACAUCCCGUUGACCACGGUAUAGAUAUGGUUUCCCCUUCGGGGGCAACGGUGACAGGUGGUGCAUG
rnacentral:rRNA from 1 species